AUUGAACGCUGGCGGCAUGCUUUACACAUGCAAGUCGAACGGUAACAGGCCUUCGGGUGCUGACGAGUGGCGAACGGGUGAGUAAUGCAUCGGAACGUGCCCAGAGGUGGGGGAUAACGCAGCGAAAGCUGUGCUAAUACCGCAUGUGAUCUGAGGAUGAAAGCGGGGGACCAGGCAGCAAUGUUUGGCCUCGCGCCUUUGGAGCGGCCGAUGUCAGAUUAGGUAGUUGGUGGGGUAAAGGCCUACCAAGCCGACGAUCUGUAGCUGGUCUGAGAGGACGACCAGCCACACUGGGACUGAGCCACGGCCCAGACUCCUACGGGAGGCAGCAGUGGGGAAUUUUGGACAAUGGGCGCAAGCCUGAUCCAGCAAUGCCGCGUGCGGGAAGAAGGCCUUCGGGUUGUAAACCGCUUUUGUACGGAACGAAAAGGCUCUGGCUAAUACCUGGGGCUGAUGACGGUACCGUAAGAAUAAGCACCGGCUAACUACGUG
rnacentral:rRNA from 1 species